rnacentral:rRNA from 1 species
GAGUUCGUCUCGUUGGUGACCAGCGGAGGGAUCAUUACCGAGUUUACAAACUCCCAAACCCUUUGUGAACCUUACCUAUCGUUGCUUCGGCGGGAUCGCCCCGGGCCGGCCCCUUCGCGGGGGCCCUCCGGAGCCAGGCGCCCGCCGGAGAACCCAAACUCUUUGUUUUUUAUGGUUUUCUCCUCUGAGUGGAUUAUAAACAAAUAAAUCAAAACUUUCAACAACGGAUCUCUUGGUUCUGGCAUCGAUGAAGAACGCAGCGAAAUGCGAUAAGUAAUGUGAAUUGCAGAAUUCAGUGAAUCAUCGAAUCUUUGAACGCACAUUGCGCCCGCCAGUAUUCUGGCGGGCAUGCCUGUUCGAGCGUCAUUUCAACCCUCAGGCCCCCAGUGCCUGGCGUUGGAGAUCGGCCGUACGGCGCGCAGCCCCCCCCGGGGGUUUGCGCGGCGGGCCGGCUCCGAAAUCUAGUGGCGGUCUCGCUGUAGUCCUCCUCUGCGUAGUAGCACAACCUCGCAGUUGGAACGCGGCGGUGGCCAUGCCGUUAAACACCCCACUUCUGAAAGUUGACCUCGGAUCAGGUAGGAAUACCCGCUGAACUUAAGCAUAUCAAAAGCCGGGGAGGAAA